rnacentral:rRNA from 1 species
UACGGAGGGUGCAAACGUUGCUCGGAAUUAUUGGGCGUAAAGCGCACGUAGGCGGACCAUCAAGUCGGAUGUGAAAUCCCUCGGCUUAACCGAGGACGUGCAUUCGAUACUGAUGGCCUUGAGUACGAAAGAGGAUCGCGGAAUUCCCGGUGUAGAGGUGAGAUUCGUAGAUAUCGGGAGGAACACCAAUGGCGAAGGCAGCUCUCUGGGACGGUACUGACGCUGAGACGCGAAAGCGUGGGGAGCGAACAGG